AUUGAACGCUGGCGGCAUGCUUUACACAUGCAAGUCGAACGGAUCUAGGGGCUUGCUCCUAGGUUAGUGGCGAACGGGUGAGUAAUGCAUCGGAACGUACCGUGUAGUGGGGGAUAACCCGGCGAAAGUCGGAUUAAUACCGCAUACGAUCUACGGAUGAAAGCGGGGGACCUUAGGGCCUCGCGCUAUACGAGCGGCCGAUGUCGGAUUAGCUAGUUGGUGAGGUAAAGGCUCACCAAGGCGACGAGCCGUAGCGGGUCUGAGAGGAUGAUCCGCCACACUGGGACUGAGACACGGCCCAGACUCCUACGGGAGGCAGCAGUGGGGAAUUUUGGACAAUGGACGCAAGUCUGAUCCAGCCAUGCCGCGUGAGUGAAGAAGGCCUUCGGGUUGUAAAGCUCUUUUGUCAGGGAGCAAAUCCUGCCUGCUAAUACUAGGCGGGGAUGAGAGUACCUGAAGAAUAAGGACCGGCUAACUACGUGCCAGCCGCCGCAGUAACAC
rnacentral:rRNA from 1 species